rnacentral:rRNA from 1 species
GACGGGUGAGUAAUGCCUAGGAAAUUGCCCUGAUGUGGGGGAUAACCAUUGGAAACGAUGGCUAAUACCGCAUAAUGCCUACGGGCCAAAGAGGGGGACCUUCGGGCCUCUCGCGUCAGGAUAUGCCUAGGUGGGAUUAGCUAGUUGGUGAGGUAAUGGCUCACCAAGGCGACGAUCCCUAGCUGGUCUGAGAGGAUGAUCAGCCACACUGGAACUGAGACACGGUCCAGACUCCUACGGGAGGCAGCAGUGGGGAAUAUUGCACAAUGGGCGCAAGCCUGAUGCAGCCAUGCCGCGUGUGUGAAGAAGGCCUUCGGGUUGUAAAGCACUUUCAGUCGUGAGGAAGGUGGUAGUGUUAAUAGCACUAUCAUUUGACGUUAGCGACAGAAGAAGCACCGGCUAACUCCGUGCCAGCAGCCGCGGUAAUACGGAGGGUGCGAGCGUUAAUCGGAAUUACUGGGCGUAAAGCGCAUGCAGGUGGUUUGUUAAGUCAGAUGUGAAAGCCCGGGGCUCAACCUCGGAAUAGCAUUUGAAACUGGCAGACUAGAGUACUGUAGAGGGGGGUAGAAUUUCAGGUGUAGCGGUGAAAUGCGUAGAGAUCUGAAGGAAUACCGGUGGCGAAGGCGGCCCCCUGGACAGAUACUGACACUCAGAUGCGAAAGCGUGGGGAGCAAACAGGAUUAGAUACCCUGGUAGUCCACGCCGUAAACGAUGUCUACUUGGAGGUUGUGGCCUUGAGCCGUGGCUUUCGGAGCUAACGCGUUAAGUAGACCGCCUGGGGAGUACGGUCGCAAGAUUAAAACUCAAAUGAAUUGACGGGGGCCCGCACAAGCGGUGGAGCAUGUGGUUUAAUUCGAUGCAACGCGAAGAACCUUACCUACUCUUGACAUCCAGAGAACUUUCCAGAGAUGGAUUGGUGCCUUCGGGAACUCUGAGACAGGUGCUGCAUGGCUGUCGUCAGCUCGUGUUGUGAAAUGUUGGGUUAAGUCCCGCAACGAGCGCAACCCUUAUCCUUGUUUGCCAGCGAGUAAUGUCGGGAACUCCAGGGAGACUGCCGGUGAUAAACCGGAGGAAGGUGGGGACGACGUCAAGUCAUCAUGGCCCUUACGAGUAGGGCUACACACGUGCUACAAUGGCGCAUACAGAGGGCAGCAAGCUAGCGAUAGUGAGCGAAUCCCAAAAAGUGCGUCGUAGUCCGGAUUGGAGUCUGCAACUCGACUCCAUGAAGUCGGAAUCGCUAGUAAUCGUGGAUCAGAAUGCCACGGUGAAUACGUUCCCGGGCCUUGUACACACCGC